UACAGAGGUCCCAAGCGUUGUUCGGAUUCACUGGGCGCAAAGGGUGCGUAGGCGGCCGGGUAAGUCUGAUGUGAAAUCUCACAGCUUAACUGUGAAACUGCAUUGGAUACUAUCCGGCUCGAGGAAUGGAGGGGGGACUGGAAUGCUUGGUGUAGCAGUGAAAUGCGUAGAUAUCAAGCGGAACACCAGUGGCGAAGGCGAGUCCCUGGACAACUCCUGACACUGAGGCACGAAAGCUAGGGGAGCAAACAGG
rnacentral:rRNA from 1 species